GGACUACUAGGGUAUCUAAUCCCGUUCGCUCCCCUAGCUUUCGCACCUCAGCGUCAGUCACUCGCCAGGACACUGCCUUCGCCUUCGGUGUUCCUCCGGAUCUCUACGCAUUUCACCACUCCACCCGGAAUUCCGUGUCCCUCUCGAGCCCUCAAGUCGAACCGUCUUUUGUAUCCUCGGGCAGUUAAGCCACCCGCUGUCACACAAAACGCGUCCGACCGCCUGCAUGCCCUUUACGCCCAGUAACUCCGGACAACGCUCGCCCCCUACGUAUUACCGCGGCUGCUGGCAC
rnacentral:rRNA from 1 species